GACGAACCGUGCGACCGUUAUUCGGAAUCACUGGGCUUAAAGGGCGCGUAGGCGGGCCGCCAAGUCAGGGGUGAAAGCCUCCGGCUCAACCGGAGAAGUGCCUUUGAUACUGGCGGCCUAGAGGGAGGUAGGGGCCUGCGGAACUUCCGGUGGAGCGGUGAAAUGCGUAGAUAUCGGAAGGAACGCCGGUGGCGAAAGCGGCGGGCUGGACCUCUUCUGACGCUGAGGCGCGAAAGCCAGGGGAGCAAACGGG
rnacentral:rRNA from 1 species